UCCUACGGGAGGCAGCAGUGGGGAAUUUUCCGCAAUGGGCGAAAGCCUGACGGAGCAACGCCGCGUGGGGGAAGAAGGUUUUUGGAUUGUAAACCCCUUUUCUCAAGGAAGAACAAAAUGACGGUACUUGAGGAAUCAGCCUCGGCUAACUCCGUGCCAGCAGCCGCGGUAAUACGGAGGAGGCAAGCGUUAUCCGGAAUUAUUGGGCGUAAAGCGUUCGUAGGCGGCUGUUCAAGUCUGCUGUCAAAGACCGAGGCUCAACCUCGGGUAGGCAGUGGAAACUGGAUAGCUAGAGGUCGGUAGGGGCAGAGGGAAUUCCCGGUGUAGCGGUGAAAUGCGUAGAUAUCGGGAAGAACACCAGUGGCGAAGGCGCUCUACUGGGCCACAACUGACGCUGAGGGACGAAAGCUAGGGGAGCGAAAGGGAUUAGAUACCCCUGUAGUCCUAGCUGUAAACGAUGGAUACUAGGUGUUGGGCGUAUCGACCCGUUCAGUACCGUAGCUAACGCGUUAAGUAUCCCGCCUGGGGAGUACGCACGCAAGUGUGAAACUCAAAGGAAUUGACGG
rnacentral:rRNA from 1 species